AUGUCAAAUAAACCAUUUCAGUUAUGCAGAUCGUAGAUCAGGUGACAAUAUGCAAACAGGAAAUUGAUUGUGCCAAGAUGAAUUCAAGUUGUCUUACUCGGUGAUAGACAGCAAACAUUAGACAGCGCUUGUGACAUUUUCGUCACAGAAAACCCCAGCCCAUCGUCAAGCAGCGCUCGGGAUUCAUAGGGGUUGUAUUUGAAGAUUAAGCUCACUAAUAUCUGUUCUACAAUAAAGUGGUGCCGGAUGCAUGCGUAAGAGUUAGCUUUGUCAACGCUUAAUUCACCUUUUAGGCUUUAGAUUUCACUUGAUGUAAACAAACCGCGAAAGUUCGGACAUUGAGUCCACCACCCUCUACCCGUGUACAAACUUCCGCUUCGGCAUUUUGUUGUUAAUAAUUUCCAAUGUCGUGAAGCGUUUCGGUGCUCAAAAUUGACUUCUUUCUUGUCUAAUAUGUUUGAUUAUUUAUCAAGCGAGUUGAUAUUUCGCUACCGCUUAAGAUGAUUCGAAGAAUGUGGCAGGAAGUGUUACAACAUGAAAUGAUCAAACUGGUUCUGCGUACGUACAGUGAUGUAUUUGAUCAGGUAUUUUCAGGGCGUUAAACGCUUAGUUUGUCAAAUAAAACCAAGUCUGAUGGGAAAUUAGUGCUCACGAAUCGCUGUAAUUAAUCUUUGUACUUGUGCAUGUGUAUAUCUUACCAAUUCCGAUAAAAACUUAUUGAUUGACGUUAAGAUCACAUGAUCCAACACGUGACCUUCGUGGUCAACAUUAUGGUCUUACGAUGAAAGAUCGUACAGAAAACCAUCGUCCUCGAAAGUUUCAGCUCAAUCGGCUGUAAUUUUGCGGAGAUAUAGCCGUUUAUUUUCGUAACGCAAUUUACCCUCCUGACCCAGGCCUUAAACUAAUUGAGUUCUGGGUACUAAAUAAAUGAGCUAUAGAGGCGCACCAUACAAAGACAUCAUCAAUUAUAAAAAUCCUGUUGGAGGCUCUAAAGGAAGCUUAAAACCUGGAGACGUCUCCGUUACCAAUCUACAAAGUUUAGCAGGAUAAUACAGGUACACAAGGCACCCACAAAGGUGGAAGAGUAGAAGACCAUAGAAUAAUGGUUACUGGGAAAUUGUACUUACCACAAUGAUAUACUAAUGUAUAUUCAAGCAAUACACUACAUAUAUAGAACUGAUUACAUAAUGUAUUUAAUAACUGUACACAUUUCAUAUGCUCCUCCCAUUUGUUGGCAACAGUAGUUAGGAUUUUUAGGAA